rnacentral:rRNA from 1 species
GUAGGUGGCAAGCGUUGUCCGGAAUUAUUGGGCGUAAAGCGCGCGCAGGCGGUCCUUUAAGUCUGAUGUGAAAGCCCACGGCUCAACCGUGGAGGGUCAUUGGAGACUGGGGGACUUGAGUACAGAAGAGGAAAGCGGAAUUCCAAGUGUAGCGGUGAAAUGCGUAGAGAUUUGGAGGAACACCAGUGGCGAAGGCGGCUUUCUGGUCUGUAACUGACGCUGAGGCGCGAAAGCGUGGGGAGCAAACAGGGAUUAGAUACCCUGGUAGUCCACGCCGUAAACGAUGAGUGCUAAGUGUUAGGGGGGUUUCCGCCCCCCUUAGUGCUGCAGCUAACGCAUUAAGCACUCCGCCUGGGGAGUACGGCCGCAAGGCUG